UAAACGAUGCCAACCAGUAAUUCGCCUGAGUUCCUUAAAUGACUCGGCGAGGGACUUCCGGGAAACCAAAGUCUUUCGGUUCCAGGGGAAGUAUGGUUGCAAAGCUGAAACUUAAAGAAAUUGACGGAAGGGCACCACCAGGAGUGGAGCCUGCGGCUUAAUCUGACUCAACACGGGAAAACCCACCCGGCCCGGACACUGGAAGGAUUGACAGAUUGAGAGCUCUUUCUUGAUUCAGUGGGUGGUGGUGCAUGGCCGUUCUUAGUUGGUGGAGUGAUUUGUCUGGUUAAUUCCGAUAACGAACGAGACUCUAGCCUACUAAAUAGAUCGUCGGCUUACAAACGCCGACGAGACUUCUUAGAGGGACAGGCGGCGAUUCAGCCGCACGAAACAGAGCAAUAACAGGUCUGUGAUGCCCUUAGAUGUCCGGGGCCGCACGCGCGCUACACUGAAGUGAUCAGCGUGCUUUUUCAACCUACUCUGUCAAGAGUGGGGAACCCAAUGAACCUUCUUCGUGAUUGGGAUAGGGGAUUGUAAUUAUUCCCCUUGAACGAGGAAUUCCCAGUAAGCGCGAGUCAUAAGCUCGCGUUGAUUACGUCCCUGCCCUUUGUACACACCGCCCGUCGCUACUACCGAUUGAAUGUUUUAGUGAGGUCUUCGGACUGGCCGGUGCAGCUACUCUUGUAGUGGCAGCGCUGUGUUUGGAAAGAUGCCCAAACUUGAACAUUUAGAGGAAGUAAAAGUCGUAACAAGGUUUCCGU
rnacentral:rRNA from 1 species